GCCCAUAUUAUAUUGAAAUACCAGUUCCCAUAUAAUCACUGAAGUUAAGCAAUGUUGAGCCUGAUCAGUAACUAUAUGGGUGAUCACUUGGGAAUACUAGGUAGUGUAAG